rnacentral:lncRNA from 1 species
CAAACGCAGAACGUUUCAGAGCCAUGAGGAUGCUUCUGCAUUUGAGUUUGCUAGCUCUUGGAGCUGCCUACGUGUAUGCCAUCCCCACAGAAAUUCCCACAAGUGCAUUGGUGAAAGAGACCUUGGCACUGCUUUCUACUCAUCGAACUCUGCUGAUAGCCAAUGAACUCUGAGGAUUCCUGUUCCUGUACAUAAAAACACCAACUGUGCACUGAAGAAAUCUUUCAGGGAAUAGGCACACUGGAGAGUCAAACUGUGCAAGGGGGUACUGUGGAAAGACUAUUCAAAAACUUGUCCUUAAUAAAGAAAUACAUUGACGGCCAAAAAAAAAGUGUGGAGAAGAAAGACGGAGAGUAAACCAAUUCCUAGACUACCUGCAAGAGUUUCUUGGUGUAAUGAACACCGAGUGGAUAAUAGAAAGUUGAGACUAAACUGGUUUGUUGCAGCCAAAGA